GUUUCUAUAGUUGAAUAACAACGAUGAUUUUUCAUGUCAUUGGUCAUAGUG
rnacentral:tRNA from 1 species